rnacentral:misc_RNA from 1 species
GUACCAUACGAAUUUCACCACCAAGGCCAAUUUCCCCAAUGAAUGCAAUGCCCACAGGAAGAGGGAAUUCCAAAAAACUGCUGCAAAUUGCUGCUGCUACUGCAAGAUCACCAGCAGUCUCAGACAGGCUAACACCACUGACAACAUUGAGAAAAACGCCAUUCUCUUGCAGCUUGAGACCAGCUUGCUUUAUAAGAACUGAAAUUAUCAUCUCAGCUCUGCCAGCUUGAACACCAUUUACUUGUCUUGAGACAGAUGAACCAGCAACACACAAUGCCUGAAUUUCAAUAAGAAAGGCUCGAGAUCCAUCCAUAAUUACAGUAACAGCUAAUCCAGCCAGAAACUCAGAAUCCGACUGCUGUUCACUUAGAAACAUUUCACUUGGGUUUGAAACAGCCUGCAAGCCUGAUUGUGACAUUUCAAACACUCCAAGCUGCAAG